rnacentral:rRNA from 2 species
AAGGUUUUCGGAUCGUAAAGCUCUGUUGUUAGGGAAGAACAAGUGCCGUUCAAAUAGGGCGGCACCUUGACGGUACCUAACCAGAAAGCCACGGCUAACUACGUGCCAGCAGCCGCGGUAAUACGUAGGUGGCAAGCGUUGUCCGGAAUUAUUGGGCGUAAAGGGCUCGCAGGCGGUUUCUUAAGUCUGAUGUGAAAGCCCCCGGCUCAACCGGGGAGGGUCAUUGGAAACUGGGGAACUUGAGUGCAGAAGAGGAGAGUGGAAUUCCACGUGUAGCGGUGAAAUGCGUAGAGAUGUGGAGGAACACCAGUGGCGAAGGCGACUCUCUGGUCUGUAACUGACGCUGAGGAGCGAAAGCGUGGGGAGCGAACAGGAUUAGAUACCCUGGUAGUCCACGCCGUAAACGAUGAGUGCUAAGUGUUAGGGGGUUUCCGCCCCUUAGUGCUGCAGCUAACGCAUUAAGCACUCCGCCUGGGGAGUACGGUCGCAAGACUGAAACUCAAAGGAAUUGACGGGGGCCCGCACAAGCGGUGGAGCAUGUGGUUUAAUUCGAAGCAACGCGAAGAACCUUACCAGGUCUUGACAUCCUCUGACAAUCCUAGAGAUAGGACGUCCCCUUCGGGGGCAGAGUGACAGGUGGUGCAUGGUUGUCGUCAGCUCGUGUCGUGAGAUGUUGGGUUAAGUCCCGCAACGAGCGCAACCCUUGAUCUUAGUUGCCAGCAUUCAGUUGGGCACUCUAAGGUGACUGCCGGUGACAAACCGGAGGAAGGUGGGGAUGACGUCAAAUCAUCAUGCCCCUUAUGACCUGGGCUACACACGUGCUACAAUGGACAGAACAAAGGGCAGCGAAACCGCGAGGUUAAGCCAAUCCCACAAAUCUGUUC